UUAUAGCAUUGUAUCCUAGAAGGAUAAUUCUGCAUAAGCCACAACUUGAAUCUAAUUUGAAAACUCCUGUAUUAUAGAAAUGCAUUCCACACAGAGUAGUUUCUGUAUUUAUCAGAUAAACAGUAUGCAUCCUGGACCUAAUUAAGGUUUCAAGACACUGAAAGUUCUGUUUUGAAUUCACCUUGAAGUAUGAGAAACUUCUUAAAGAGCCUAUUUGAAACAAAAUUGUAAAAACUUCAUUGAAGGGAUUGUAGAGAAAAUUGGCAGGAGAAGAUGUUAACAACAAGGCCCGGAGCUCCAUUUGUAGGAUUCGCAGCGUAAAGCCUGCAGAUACUCGUCUCUAAGGGCUUUUUUCCCUCCAUUGAAUUCAAGUAAAGGAGAAGAAUAGCAUGAAAGGGAACAAGAAAAAUUGACGGCAACAUGAAUGUCUACAUUUCACAAAACCAACCAUGGCACACCAACGAAGAGACCGGAAACAAACACUGUGACCCUGUGGCACUGUGAUGCACCGCCAUAAGGAUAUCUUUCUGUUUCGUUGCAGCUGGAGUCAAUGACUUCAUACCGAA